rnacentral:rRNA from 1 species
GCAUGGUGUUUUGGGAAAGCCUUUGCGGCAUGGGAUGGGGUCGCGUCCUAUCAGCUUGAUGGCGGGGUAACGGCCCACCAUGGCUUCGACGGGUAGCCGGCCUGAGAGGGCGACCGGCCACAUUGGGACUGAGAUACGGCCCAGACUCCUACGGGAGGCAGCAGUGGGGAAUAUUGCACAAUGGGCGCAAGCCUGAUGCAGCGACGCCGCGUGAGGGAUGGAGGCCUUCGGGUUGUAAACCUCUUUUGUUAGGGAGCAAGGCAUUUUGUGUUGAGUGUACCUUUCGAAUAAGCACCGGCUAACUACGUGCCAGCAGCCGCGGUAAUACGUAGGGUGCAAGCGUUAUCCGGAAUUAUUGGGCGUAAAGGGCUCGUAGGCGGUUCGUCGCGUCCGGUGUGAAAGUCCAUCGCUUAACGGUGGAUCCGCGCCGGGUACGGGCGGGCUUGAGUGCGGUAGGGGAGACUGGAAUUCCCGGUGUAACGGUGGAAUGUGUAGAUAUCGGGAAAGAACACC